rnacentral:misc_RNA from 1 species
AAGUCGUAACAAGGUUUCCGUAGGUGAACCUGCGGAAGGAUCAUUAUCACGUUAUCCACGUAUCAACCAUUGUGAAUUUGUCUCAUUUGACCUUUAAAUUUUUAGUGAAGUUUCGUUUUUUUUCGAAGUUGGUUUGUAAACCGUUAUCAAACAAUAACUGAUUGGAAUUGUUGAGGUUUACAAAUUGAUCCAAACAUUUACUUGUUUGACUUCGCUUAAUUUAAAGUGUAAAAUUUUCCAAUCAAAAUUAUUAUCAUUAACCAUUUAAACCCAAAAUUUUAAUUAAUUUUGAACUGAAUUAAUUUCUUACUUUCUUUUUCACAAAGAGAGAAGAAAUAAAAAUCUUACGAAACAUAAGAACAACUCUUAGCAACGGAUAUCUUGGUUCUC